rnacentral:rRNA from 1 species
UUCGGUCGAUCUGCCAGAGGUUACUGCUAUCGAGUUUCGACUAAGCCAUGCGAGUUGAAUGUUUUUCGGAACAUGGCGGACUGCUCAGUAACACGUGGACAACCUACCCUUGGGUUCGGCAUAAUCCUGGGAAACUGGGAAUAAUUUCGGAUAGGUCACCGAUGCCGGAAUGCGCGGUGGCCGAAAGCUCCGGCGCCCGAGGAUGGGUCUGCGGCCUAUCAGGUUGUAGUGGGUGUAACGUACCUACUAGCCUACGACGGGUACGGGUUGUGAGAGCAAGAGCCCGGAGAUGGAUUCUGAGACACGAAUCCAGGCCCUACGGGGUGCAGCAGGCGCGAAAACUUUACAAUGCGGGAAACCGUGAUAAGGGGAUCUCGAGUGCCAGCAUAUAAUGUUGGCUGUCCAGAUGCCUAAAAAGCAUUGUUAGCAAGGGCCGGGCAAGACCGGUGCCAGCCGCCGCGGUAACACCGGCGGCCCGAGUGGUAACCGCUAUUAUUGGGUCUAAAGGGUCUGUAGCCGGCCAGGUAAGUCCCUUGGGAAAUCUGGCAGCUCAACUGUCAGGCUGCUAGGGGAUACUGUUUGGCUUGGGACCGGGAGAGGUGAGAGGUACCUUGGGGGUAGGGGUGAAAUCUUGUGAUCCUCGAGGGACCACCAGUGGCGAAGGCGUCUCACCAGAACGGGUCCGACGGUAAGGGACGAAAGCUAGGGGCACGAACCGGAUUAGAUACCCGGGUAGUCCUAGCCGUAAACGAUGCUCGCUAGGUGUCAGUCACGGUGCGACCGUGAUUGGUGCCGUAGGGAAGCCGUGAAGCGAGCACCUGGGAAGUAUGGCCGCAAGGCUGAAACUUAAAGGAAUGGNCGGGGACACUACAACGGUUGNACCUGCGGUUA